ACGGAGGAUCCAAGCGUUAUCCGGAAUCAUUGGGUUUAAAGGGUCCGUAGGCGGUCUUAUAAGUCAGUGGUGAAAGCCCAUCGCUCAACGAUGGAACUGCCAUUGAUACUGUAAGACUUGAAUGCUUAGGAAGUAACUAGAAUAUGUAGUGUAGCGGUGAAAUGCUUAGAUAUUACAUGGAAUACCAAUUGCGAAGGCAGGUUACUACUAAGUGAUUGACGCUGAUGGACGAAAGCGUGGGGAGCGAACAGGAUUAGAUACCCUGGUAGUCCACGCCGUAAACGAUGGAUACUAGCUGUUCGGCGCAAGUUGAGUGGCUAAGCGAAAGUGAUAAGUAUCCCACCUGGGGAGUACGCACGCAAGUGUG
rnacentral:rRNA from 1 species